rnacentral:siRNA from 1 species
UUGGAUAUUUCUUGACUUAACA